UGCCCAAGAGAUCGGGAUAACACCUGGAAACAGAUGCUAAUACCGGAUAACAACAGAUGAUGCCUAUCAACUGUUUAAAAGAUGUUCUGCUAUCACUCUUGGAUGGACCUGCGGUGCAUUAGCUAGUUGGUAGGGUAACGGCCUACCAAGGCGAUGAUGCAUAGCCGAGUUGAGAGACUGAUCGGCCACAUUGGGACUGAGACACGGCCCAAACUCCUACGGGAGGCAGCAGCC
rnacentral:rRNA from 1 species